rnacentral:rRNA from 1 species
GACGGGGGAUGCAAGCGUUAUCCGGAAUCACUGGGCGUAAAGCGUCUGUAGGUGGUGAUGCAAGUCACUGGUGCAAAACUCUGGCUCAACCGGAGGAAAGCCAGUGAAACUGCAUGACUAGAGUGUGGGAGAGGUAGAAGGAAUUCCCUGAGUAGCGGUGAAAUGCGUAGAGACAGGGAAGAACACCGGAGGCGAAAGCGUUCUACUGGAACACAACUGACAAUGAGAGACGAAAGAUAGGGGAGCGAAUGGG